rnacentral:lncRNA from 1 species
GAAUAUGAAAGAGCGAAGAAAGCCAGAAAUUGUAUUGGAAGUGCUAGUGUCAACAUCUCGUACCUGUCACUAAUAGGUGAGUACUGUUGCUCCAUAGUUCAAAUGUCCCCCCUGCACGUUCUCCUUUCAUAAGAUAUGAUGUAUGAAAGGCAAUUUACUAGGGUUGGGCAUAUAUCGGGUAAAAUCGAUAACUCGAACAGUUAAUUAUUUAUUGAGUUAUCGGUAUUGGGUUAUUGAGUUAACGGUUCGGUAACAGUUUAGAAUUUUUUCACUAUUGGGUUAUCGGUUCGGGCCUCGGUUUGGCAAUUCUGUUAUUGGGUUAACCGAUAACCCAAUAAGGAUUAACGAAAUUACCACUUUACCCUUAAGUAUAUACAUGUGAGAUAUGCUAGGGCUUCAUUCUUUCCUAUUCUUACUCAGCCUCAACCGCAUUCUUCAGAGUUCAGACUCUUCACUCUUCAGUUGCUUCACAGUUCACAUUUCUCAGCCGCAUUCUUCAGCUUCAUCCUCAUUCUUCGUGUAAGUUUUUAGUUGCUUCAUCUUCAUCUUCGGUUGCCUACUUGCCUUCAUUUUCGUCUUCAGUUGAUUCAUUCGUUUAUUGAUUUCUAAUCCAUCUUCGUGUCGUUUUUUCUAAUCAGUUUAUUUUUGAGUUGCCUACCCGAAUCGUUUAUGCUCUGUUUUGAUUUUCCAUCACAACUAGUAGGAAAUUAAUUUGCUCAAGUUUAAGAAAUUUUGAGUUUGACCAUUAAGAAUGAAAAACUUCUGAGAAUAGGCGUUUUACCCCUUUUAGUAAUGCGACCGACUCCAAAUAUGUCGGCCCAAUUGAUUUUGGAUAAUAGGUGGCUAAACAAAAAGGAAAAUGUAUUUGCGGUUUUCGAAUUUUUAUGUGUUUCUCGCUAAUAUACUGAUUUUUGCAAGGGUUUUUGCCUAUUGUGCCCUAGGUUUGGCCAGUUUGUUGACUGUUGAAUUCAACUUAUCUUUUUUAUGCAAAAUUUAAGAUUAGAUUAGACUUUGGGUAACUAUUCCAAUGUGCAACACACUAAUUGCUUGAAUGUAGUUAACAAAUAAUUCUGUAAUUAUUCAUACUCAUUGUCUACAUGGAACUCAUUUUACAAUUUCUAGUCAAGUUUAAGUUGGUCUUCCACGUUAAGCACUCCUAGUGGUAUGCAAAGGAGUUGUGAUGAUAUGAUAAUUGUCUAUGCUGCUCCAACUAAGUCUUGUACUAGGAAAUCGUAGAAUCAACUUUAAGAAUGAAAAACUUAUGAGAAUAUUAAUUGUAAAAUCACAGAGAAAGUAGGUGUAGGAUAAACCAGUAUGUAUUUUGUUCAGUUUCCUUAUGUCUAGAUUUUUCAUCUUUAGUUGCCUUAUGUCUAGAUUCUUCUAAUUCGUUUCUUAAGAUUUUGUUGCCUCGCUACUUGAUUUCUUUUAAAUUCAAACUCACAGUGACACAAACGCAUGGCUGAAAAUAUCAUAAUUGAUAAGGUGAUUGGUGAAAGUGGAGCUUCUAAUUCAAAUGCGACAACACAAUCUCAAUCAGUUCAAUCGACAGUAAGGAGACAAAGAAAAAAGAGGUCUCCUGCAUGGGAUCAUUUUGACCAAAUUAUUGAUUCGGAAGAAAAUCAAAAGGGUGUCUGUAAAUAUUGCAAAAAAGAAAAUUUUUGCUGAUACAAAAGAUAAUGAUAUGAAAUCACUGCUUACACAUAUAACCAAUUGUAAAAAAAAUGCCUUUAGAUGUUGCAAAAAGUUAAUCAAAAUUAGCCUUUCAACCUGUUCCGGGGGUAAUAAGGGUGAUAUAGCUGUUGUUCCUUGGAAAUUUGAUCAAGAACAGUGUAGGAAGGCUUUGUGUCGUAUGGUGAUCGUUGAUGAACUUUCUUUCAGCUUUGUUGAAAAGGAAGGUUAUAUGAAUUUUAUGAAAGUUGCACAACCUUUUUUCGAAUUCCUUCACGUAGAACUGUGACUCGUGACUGUUUUGAUCUUUUCAAUGAGGAAAAACGUAAGUUGGUGAAGCUUUUUAAAGAUCAGAGAGUUUGCCUUACCACUGAUACUUGGACUUCGUUACAACGAAUAAAUUAUAUGUGUAUUACUGUUCAUUGGAUUGAUAGUGAAUGGAAAAUGCAUAAAAGAACUAUCAAUUUUUGUCCAAUUUCUAGUCAUAGGGGUGAAGAUAUGGCAAAUAGUAUUGUUAAUUGUUUGAAAGAGUGGGGGUUACAAAAGAUUUUCACUGUCACAGUUGAUAAUGCUAGUUCAAAUGAUGUGACGGUGAAGGAGCUUUCUAAGAAGUUAACAAAAAGGGGGACCAAUUCCAUGAAUGGUAAGCACCUUCACAUGAGAUGUAUGGCUCAUAUUAUGAAUCUUGUUGUUCAGGAUGGUAUAAAAGAAUUAAUUGUGUCUAUUGAACGUAUUAGGCAAGCAAUGAGAUAUAUCAGGCAGUCUCCUGCUAGGUGAAAAAAGUUUGAGGAAUGUUGUGAUGAAAGAAAUCUAGUUAGGAAAUCUUUAUGUUUGGAUGUUCCUACAAGGUAAAAUUCUACAUACUUGAUGUUGAACAUGGCUAUUGAAUAUGAGAGUACAAUUUUAGAAUAUGCUGAUCAUGAUAUUGGCUUGUCACAUCAUCUUGAGUUUGUUGAUAUUGUGGAUGGAAGUCCUGCAAGUACACUUUUGAGUAGUGAUUGGGAGAUGUAAAGAAAUUGACAAUUUUUUAAAAUCUUUUAUAAGCUUACUUUAAAGGUAUCUGGCUCACUUUAUGUUACAUCAAAUCAUCAUUUUCUUAAAAUUUGUGAAGUUGUUGUUUACUUGAAACAAUUGAUAUUAAAUGAAGAUGUUCUUUUGGGUUCAAUGACAAAGAAGAUGAAGGAGAAAUUUGAUAAGUAUUGGGGUAAUCCAGAAAAAAUGAACUAGAUGAUUUUCAUUUCAUGUGUUUUGGAUCCUCGGUACAAGUUUGAUUCUGUUAGUUUUGCACUUGCGAAGAUGUUUGAAGAAAAAGGGUCAAUUAUCGCGAAGGCAGUGCAUACAUACAUGACUUCAUUGUUUGAUGAGUAUGUAAAGUCUCAUUCAAAAGAUAAAGGUUGUCGUCCUUCUUCAUGUUUAUCUAACUCUUCAUUGGACACAAUGAAAACUUCUGCUUCAUCGCUUUUAGCUAAUACUAUUAGUGUCCAAAGCGGAGGGGCUUUUGGUUCUUUCUUUGAAGAAUUAAAAAGAUAUAAAGCUGGGAUUGAAGGUUCAAAUUCUAAAUCAGAAUUGGAAAAAUAUCUUACAGAAGAAGUUGAAAAUGAAAUAGCUGACUCUAAUAUAUUGCUUUGGUGGAAAGUAAACUCACCUAGAUUCCCCAUUCUUGCUGAGAUGGCUCGGGAUGUGUUAUCUAUUCCUAUUUCAAGUGUUGCAUCCGAAUGUGCAUUUAGCACUGGAGGGCGUAUUCUUGAUUCAUUUAGGAGUUCAUUGACUCCUAAAUUGGUGGAAGUUCUAGUAUGCCUUCAAGAUUGGCUUCAGAGUGAGCCAUUACCUGUAAGUGUUGAGGAAGAUUUAGAUGUUAUCGAGCAACUAGAACAAGGUAGCAAUAUUUUAAUUUGUUUGAUUGUAUAUUAUUUUUAUAAAUAGUUUAUUUAAUAUUUUUGUUGUUUGACUUGUUAAUAUAUAUUCUCAUAGAUUUUGCCAAACUUAGAAACGAACCUUGCGAUGAUGAUGUGUAGAAUCUUAGAUAGUUGUGGGUUAAAACUUUGGUAAGUUAAUUAUUCAACUUAUAUAACACAUAGUAUGUUUACAAAUAUUACUUGACUUGAUAUUUUUUCUUUUUACGUUAAAUAGGUGUAACCAUGCCUCGACUUUGUGGUCUCAAAGCUAUCUCACAUGUUUGGAGUCACUAUGAAAGGAUUGAAGAAGGUGAUGAUGGAUGGUGAAAAGUAAGAUGUAGUCAUUGUCAUCUUGUUUUACGUUACCUUGCAAUAAUGAAACUGGUACUAAGUACUUAAUGAGGCAUGUUGAGCAUUGCUUGGAGCGCAAUUUGGUGAAGCCUAUAAGGAUUGAGUAGUUGUUGUCUUGUUAACUUGAAUUUGAACUAUUAGUACUAUGUUUGGACUUGUUAAUCUUAAGGUGAAAUUGCUACUACUUUGUAUUGUUAUUAAUGUGUUUGAACUAUUAGUUGUGUUUGAUUCUAUCGAUCCAUCCCUACUCUUUCAAACAAUUGGACAACUGUUUGUAGUGUCGAACUAUUAGUUGCAGAUUUUAUGGCUUAGCAACAACAUUAUGUUGAUGUUUGUAGUGUUGAAAACUGAAAAGUUAUAGCAGCAACAUUAUGUUGAAUAUUAGUUGCAGAUUCUUUGUUCAAUGUAGUGUUUGAUUAUGGUUGUUGC